UGCAGUUUUAGCUAAGAGGACCACUAAUUUUGACAGAUUACCUCUUGAAGGUGUUGCCUAGUCUCACCAUGUUUACAUUACUCAAUGCUCAAUAGAGUCUUAGUGAAUUAAAACAAAUAUUUAUUGAAAGAUCUUCUUCAGACUGACCACCAUUUCAUCAUGGAUAUCCGGAUUACCUCUUGGAGCUGUUGCCAUGGUUACAUUACUCAAUAUUACAUGUACAUUGUGUGAUACAUUGGAUUAUUAUUGUUACGUUGCUUUUAACUGUAUCCAGUAUCCACAUUUAGUGCCAUCUUCUGCUACUUGCACUAUUGCAAAUUAAUAAGAGGUUUGCAUGAAUACAGAACAGAAAAGUCAAGUUCAUAUGUGCCACUCAAAUUAUUAUAGAGUCAAAGAGGUUCCUAACUUUCUAUACAUGUCACUCAUCUCUGAGGCUUCCAGUACACAUAUUCUUUGAUGCAGAGAGAUGGGGUUGAUGGAAAA